UGGGGAAUAUUGGACAAUGGGCGAAAGCCUGAUCCAGCCAUGCCGCGUGUGUGAAGAAGGUCUUCGGAUUGUAAAGCACUUUAAGUUGGGAGGAAGGGCCAUUACCUAAUACGUGAUGGUUUUGACGUUACCGACAGAAUAAGCACCGGCUAACUCUGUGCCAGCAGCCGCGGUAAUACAGAGGGUGCAAGCGUUAAUCGGAAUUACUGGGCGUAAAGCGCGCGUAGGUGGUUUGUUAAGUUGGAUGUGAAAUCCCCGGGCUCAACCUGGGAACUGCAUUCAAAACUGACAAGCUAGAGUAUGGUAGAGGGUGGUGGAAUUUCCUGUGUAGCGGUGAAAUGCGUAGAUAUAGGAAGGAACACCAGUGGCGAAGGCGACCACCUGGACUGAUACUGACACUGAGGUGCGAAAGCGUGGGGAGCAAACAGGAUUAGAUACCCCGGUAGUCCCUGAGCGGGCUGGCAAGGCGCAU
rnacentral:rRNA from 1 species